CUUGAAAUGCCUAUUAAUAACAUUAAUACUAAAAGGAUGAAACCUAAUGAGUUAAAUCCAACUUACCUUUGGCAUUGUCGAUUAGGCCACAUAAAUGAGAAACGCAUUUCCAAACUCCAUAAAGAUGGACUCUUGGACUCUUUUGAUUAUGAAUCAUAUGAGACAUGCAGAUCUUGUUUAAUUGGAAAGAUGACAAAGUCUCCAUUCACAGGAAAAGGUGAAAGAGCUAAUGAUCUUUUGGCCCUCAUACAUACUGAUGUAUGUGGACCACUGAACAUACCAGCCAGAGGAGGUUUUCAGUACUUCAUCACAUUUACUGAUGAUUUCAGUAGAUAUGGUUAUGUGUAUUUAAUGAAACACAAAUCAGAGUCCUUUGAAAAGUUCAAGGAAUUCAAGAAUGAAGUACAAAACCAACUAGGUAAGAAUAUUAAAACUCUUCGAUCAGAUCGAGGUGGUGAGUAUUUAAGCCUAGAGUUUGAUGACCAUCUGAAAGAGUGUGGGAUCCUAUCCCAACUUACUCCUCCUGGAACACCCCAAUGGAAUGGUGUAUCUGAGAGAAGAAAUCGAACCCUGUUAGACAUGGUCCGAUCCAUGAUGAGUCACGCCGAUCUUCCAAACUCCUUUUGGGGACAUGCACUAUUGACAGCAGCUUACACACUUAACCGUGUUCCAUCCAAAAAGGUUGAGAAGACACCAUAUGAGAUAUGGAGUGGUAAGAAACCACAUAUGUCUUACAUGAAGAUUUGGGGUUGCGAAGUUUAUGUGAAACGACAAAUUUCAACUAAGCUUGAGCCCAAAUCUGACAAAUGCUUAUUUGUGGGGUAUCCUAAAGAAACAAGAGGGUAUUACUUCUACAAUCCUUCUGAGGGCAAAGUGUUUGUCGCUCGAACUGGAGUUUUCCUAGAAAAGGAUUUUAUUUCCAAAGGAAUCAGUGGGAGGAAAGUAGAGCUUGAAGAAAUUCAAGAAUCACAAAGCAUCGAUACACCUAUGGAGGAAUUAGAGCAGGAAACACAAGUAGUUGUGGAAGAGCAACCUGCUCAAGUAGAACAAGACCAGCGUAGGUCAAGCAGGAUACGUCACCUACCUGAGAGAUAUGGAUAUCUCAUAACUGAUCAAGGUGAUGUAUUACUCAUGGAUCAAGAUGAGCCUGUGACCUACCAAGAGGCCAUAACUGGUCCCGAGUCUGAGAAGUGGCUAGAAGCCAUGAAAUCUGAAAUGGAUUCCAUGUACACAAACCAAGUUUGGACCUUGGUAGAGCCUCCUGUAGGAGUUAACCCUAUAGGAUGCAAGUGGGUCUUCAAAAAGAAGACUGACAUGGAUGGUAAGGUACAUACCUAUAAGGAAAGACUGGUUGCAAAAGGAUAUAAACAAAUUCAUGGGGUUGACUAUGAUGAAACCUUUUCACCAGUUGCAUUGCUUAAAUCUGUUCGGAUUUUACUUGCUAUCGCUGCAUAUCAUGAUUAUGAAAUAUGGCAGAUGGAUGUCAAAACUGCUUUCCUUAAUGGGAAUCUUUUGAGGAUGUGUACAUGACAUAACCUGAAGGAUUUGACAUACCAUAAGAAGCCCAAAAGAUAUGUAAGUUACAAAGGUCAAUCUAUGGAUUGAAGCAAGCUUCCAGAAGCUGGAAUCUUUGUUUUGAUGAAACAGUAAAACAAUAUGGACUCAUCAAGAACGAAGAUAAGCCUUGUGUCUACAAGAAGGUUAGUGGGAGCAUGAUCGUGUUCCUGAUAUUAUAUGUAGAUGACAUAUUACUCAUUGGAAACGAUGUCCCUACCCUGCAAUAAGUAAAGUCUUGGUUGGGGAAAUGCUUUUCUAUGAAGGACCUAGGUGAAGUAGCCUAUAUAUUAGGAAUCAUAAUCUAUAGAGAUAGAUCACAAAAACUGCUUGGCCUAAGUCAGAGUACGUACAUAGACAAAGUGCUGAGACGCUUUAACAUGCAUGAUUCCAAGAAAGGAUUCAUACCUAUGCAACAUGGCCUGUGUCUAUCAAAAACACAAUCCCCUUCAACUAAGGAAGAAAGGGAUCGCAUGAAUAAGAUUCCAUAUGCAUCUGCAAUAGGAUCUAUCAUGUAUGCCAUGUUAUGUACUCGACCAGAUGUCUCGUAUGCUUUAAGUGCAACGAGUAGGUACCAAUCUGAUCCUGGUGAUGCCCAUUGGGUAGCUGUCAAGAAUAUCCUUAAGUACUUGAGAAGGACUAAGGAAUCAUUCUUGAUAUAUGGAGGUCAGGAAGAGUUGGCUGUAAUUGGAUACACCGAUGCUAGCUUCCAGACAGAUAAGGAUGACUUUAGAUCGUAAUCUGGUUAUGUGUUUUGCUUAAACGGUGGCGCUGUGAGCUGGAAAAGUUAAAAGCAAGAUACAGUCGCUGAUUCUACAACCGAGGCCGAGUAUAUUGCUGCCUCAAGUGCAGCAAAGGAUGUCGUUUGGAUCAAAAAGUUCAUUAGUGAACUUGACAUAGUUCCUAGCAUUGUGGAUCCCAUUGGUCUCUAUUGUGAUAACAAUGGUGCUAUCGCACAAGCUAAGGUGCCUAGAUCUCACCAACGAUCCAACCACAUACUUAGGCGUUAUCACCUCAUUCGAGAGAUAAUAGAUAGAGGAGAUGUGAAAAUAUGCAGAGUACCCACACUUGACAAUAUUGUUGACCCACUGACAAAGCCUCUUGCGCAGCAGAAGCAUGAUGGCCAUACUAGAUCUAUGGGCAUUAGGGGUAUGCCUGAUUGGCUCUAGUGCUAGUGGGAGAUUGUUGGUGUAAGCCCUAGAGGCCAAUACUUUUGGUACUUGUAUCGAAUUAUUUAUUAAUAAUAAAAGGCAUUUUCUUUAUUAUGGUUGAUUAAUAAAGUCCCUGGAAUAGAUAGUCCGUUUAAUGUAUUAAGUGUGACUUAAUCAUGAGAACACAUUAAACAUAAGGACACUAUUCUUAAAGUAUCCGUAGUCGAGCUUUAGUGUGAAGUGGGAUAACAUUAAAGCAUUAAGACUAUUAUGUUUGUAGACUGAUGAUCACAUCUCAUGGAUCAUGGAUAAGGAGUUAUCAAGUCUUAAACAUAGGUAUGAAUAUUAAGAGUAAUAUUUAUACCGGAUUGACCCGCUAUGAGAAUACUAUAUAGAAAGUUAUGCAAAGUGUCAUAAGUUGUUCUCAUGGUGAUAAUGGUGUAUACCACUCUUCGACCUGAAACCACUAUGGACCCUAGAUGUAGAGUCGAGUGCUUUAUUGCUGAUCAAACGUUGCCCGUAACUGGAUAACCAUAAAAAUAGUUGAUGGGUACUCCACGACGCAUGCUAAGGGACAUGAGUGACCUAGAUGGAAUUUGCCCAUCCUGCGUAAUAGGAUAAAUGUCUAUGGGCCCAAUAUUGAACUGGACAAGGAUGGCACGGUCCAUGCCUUGUGUUCAAUAUAGACAUAAGGGCAAAAGGGAAAUUAUACACAUAAUUAUUAUCACAGAAGGAUUUGUCAGAUCACGUGACAUUUUUGUGUCUUGGGUAGCAGUGAUGUGUUGCUAGAUAUCGCUCACUGUUUAUUAUGUUAAAUACGUGAUUUAAUAUAAUUACCAAUGUCGCGAAAACCUAUAGGGUCACACACAAAGGACGGAUUAAUGAGAGAUAGAGUAAUUAAGGAAUACCGUAAUGUACGGUGCCCUUAAGUGAAUUAUAGAACAUCGUAAGGUACGGUGUACUUAAGUAGAAUACGAAACAUGGUAAGGUACCACGAGCUUAAGUGAUUUUGGCAUAUUAUAAGAUAUGGGCCAUAUACACUUGAGCGGGCUUUUUAGCUUACAACCCACACAAGUGGUUCUAUAAAUAGAACCCUUGGGUAGAAGCAUUGUCACUCUUGCAAUUUCGUUUCUUUCUCUCUCUCACUCAAAGCCUUCAUUCAUAGCAGCUAGCACUGGGAUUGAAGGAAUCCGUUCGUGUGGACUGAGUAGAGGCGUUGUCAUUGUUCAACGUUCGUGAUCGCCAUAAGAGGUAACGAUUCUAUCAAUGAUCAUGCCCAUUCGUAAGGAUCUUUAAAGGAGAAAUUUUUAAUUCCGUUGCGUUUUGGAUUGCCAUUCUCUUUCACUUCCUCCUUCAGCUCUCUGUUUUCUUAUUCAAGAUGAUCCAUCAGCUUUGGUAGAUUUGCCUUGGCGUUAUACCGGUGCUUCAGCUUGUCUUCAAAAUAAAUGAGGAACAAAGAGUUGGACCACUGAUCAAGAAGCCCUGAACAAAACCUGCUUAUGCAUAUGAUGCAUGCAAUGUUUGUGCAUAUGAUUUUAUUUUUACCAUAGGAACUUUUAGAGAUUUAUUCGCAAAUAUUUGGAAAUAUUACUCUUUUUAGACAUAUAAUGGAAUAUUCAUAUCAAUAAUAUUUUGAAAAUUUUUACACCAAAGAAGUAUAGUCUCGGUAACCAAAUACAAUACAAGAGAGAAGAAAAAUGAACAUCCUAUAGAACCCUAGAAACAAUCGUUCAAAGCUCUCGAGACCGGAAGAUAAGCUGUACGAAGCCUCUUCACCUCUUUCUCAUAGGCUGUCUCCAUAUCUGCUUUCUCCUUGGCGAGUCGAUCAUAUUUCCUCUUCCAAAACCUGGAUGAUUGAGGAAGAAGAGAAAUAACCACAUCGUCAGGCUCGUCGAUAACCUGAUGCUCCAGGAAUUCUAUCAAAGCAUCCUUAUCUCUGGGUUGUUGAAGUAGUUCCUCUCGCUUACGGACCCAAGCACGUGAACGGUCUUCAUCUCUCAACUCCUCUACUCCUUGGUUAGGGAGAGUUGAAGGCCCAACCAUAACCAUAAGGGUAGGUCUCAGAUAGUAAUAGGGCAUGCGGUACUCAGAAGCUCUCUUCCUCACCCAAGAUGUGUAGGGUUCCAAAGCAAUACAAUUCUUCGGACCAAGCUCUUUCCUUCCCUUCCUAUGAAUCUUGUGCCAAGCGCGGACCAUUCUGAUCUUCAAGUUCUGGGGAUCUCUACCCUCUUGAAAGAACACACCUUCUAACAAAAUGUUAUUAGGUUUAUCCUUUAAGGGGAACCCAAGCUGACGGCGAGCCAAAAUAGGGUUGUAGUUCAUUCCACCACAUGUACCAAGAAGAGGCACAUUGGAUAAUUCACCACAAGAGUCAAUAAUCUAGACACCAUCAUACACACAGUUAUACCAAAAGAUAUCAUCAUUAGUGAGAGACAUAAGUCUCGUAGACCACCGUAGACAUCCCUUGUUCUCCCUGAAGGCGAGCGUCUGAGGCAAGUGAGAAAUUAACCACUUCUACAACAGAGGCAAACAGCACACAAUGGUACCACCACCCUUUGCAUUCCUCAUAUGCAAAGAGAAAGUGUCACCCAGCAGAGUCGGAACGGGAUUAAGAGUAGAGAAAAUCCUAAUGGCGUUCACAUCCAUAAAAUUUUCGAUGUUGGGGAAUAACACUAGCCCAUAGAUGAGAAGUACAAAUAUGGCUUCGAAGGCGUCCUCACUCAUGGCCUUCCCAAAUAGAGUGGCUUGGGCAAUGAGGAAAUCAUAUGGGAGACCUUGAAUUCCACCUUUGGUAGUCAUAUGAGCACCAAUAUCAGAUACAUUUAUAUGCAACAGAUCAACAAUCUCUUGGGAAGAAGGAACUCUCUCCAAGCCACUGAACGGCAACUGAUCCAGGAUAGGUAUACCUACAAGAUAGGCAUACUCCUCAAGUGUAGGCAAAAGCUGGAAAUCCGGAAAAGUGAAGCAACGGUACAGAGGAUCAUAGAACUGCACCAAUACACUCAUCAGACCUUCAUCCACCUGAGUAGAAAGAAUAGACAGAAGCUUCCCAUGAUGAGCUUUGAACUCCAAGGGAUCUAAUACAUAGGAUGUCAAACUCCUUAACUCUUUCAAGUCGGGUUAUCUGAAACUGUACUUCUUCAUAUUCCUUCUUUGCUUAUCCAUGUCUGAAAAUUUGCAAAUAGACCUCUUAAGUUCCUUGAAAAUUUUCUCAGUGUUGAUGAUAUGGAUGCAAAUGAAUGCAUGAAUGCAUGGAUGCAACAAUCACACUCAAGUAUCAAGCAAGUCACGCCACACAAAGGUCACGGGAUGGAUCAAGUCAUCCUCAAUAUCAAUCAUCCAUUUUGGUGGAUUAUGGUUUACACCUUAUCAACACCCAAGUUCCAUUGAUAUUAAGGAUAUACGGUGGUACUUAUCCACUUUAGGUUUGUGAGGAGUGUUCUGAUCCGGGGUAGUUGAGGGUGUCGCCACAUUNNNNNNNNNNNNNNNNNNNNNNNNNNNNNNNNNNNNNNNNNNNNNNNNNNNNNNNNNNNNNNNNNNNNNNNNNNNNNNNNNNNNNNNNNNNNNNNNNNNNNNNNNNNNNNNNNNNNNNNNNNNNNNNNNNNNNNNNNNNNNNNNNNNNNNNNNNNNNNNNNNNNNNNNNNNNNNNNNNNNNNNNNNNNNNNNNNNNNNNNNNNNNNNNNNNNNNNNNNNNNNNNNNNNNNNNNNNNNNNNNNNNNNNNNNNNNNNNNNNNNNNNNNNNNNNNNNNNNNNNNNNNNNNNNNNNNNNNNNNNNNNNNNNNNNNNNNNNNNNNNNNNNNNNNNNNNNNNNNNNNNNNNNNNNNNNNNNNNNNNNNNNNNNNNNNNNNNNNNNNNNNNNNNNNNNNNNNNNNNNNNNNNNNNNNNNNNNNNNNNNNNNNNNNNNNNNNNNNNNNNNNNNNNNNNNNNNNNNNNNNNNNNNNNNNNNNNNNNNNNNNNNNNNNNNNNNNNNNNNNNNNNNNNNNNNNNNNNNNNNNNNNNNNNNNNNNNNNNNNNNNNNNNNNNNNNNNNNNNNNNNNNNNNNNNNNNNNNNNNNNNNNNNNNNNNNNNNNNNNNNNNNNNNNNNNNNNNNNNNNNNNNNNNNNNNNNNNNNNNNNNNNNNNNNNNNNNNNNNNNNNNNNNNNNNNNNNNNNNNNNNNNNNNNNNNNNNNNNNNNNNNNNNNNNNNNNNNNNNNNNNNNNNNNNNNNNNNNNNNNCAGCGACCUCAUCACAAGACACUGGAUCACACCGGCGACAUCCAAGCGCGGCUCUUCCUUGCACAGCUCACCGACAGCCCAUGGGCUCUCGCGCCUUAAGAAACCACCCACAAGGAGCGGGGGACUUCUGAACAGCGUCAACGAUCGCACUCUUAGUGGUUGAAUCACGCUGACAAAUCAAUUUCUCUUCAAAUAAGUCCGUCACUCGCUCAUACAUCCUCAUCCUUAUCCCUAACUCUGGCCACUUUUCUGUAGCGGGGUAUUCGUUACCUUUAGAUUUAUUGACUAAAUCAAAAGUAAAUCAUACAAUUCGAGUCGCCACCGUACUUCUAUUUAUCCAAAGGAAAGGUUAGAAAGCGAACAAAAACCAAGAAGUUUUAUCAAAUCAAAAACUAAUAAAAAUGUCAGAGAUCUGGGUAAGGGGUUGGUUAUGAAAUGGGAAGGCUUUAAGCACCCAAAACAUCCUUAGUACUCUAAGGGAGCCCUUUUUGCAAAUGUGUAUUGUAGGUUGGUAUUUGUGAAAAUAUUUGUGCAAACAAGAUUGGGGGGAUGAGAAAAGAAUAUACAUUAUUUACAAUUUUGUUGUUUGAAUUGAUAAACCCAUUGCCUACGUACCAUCACAAAGGUAGGAUCAAAACCUCAUAGUUCGGGGUAAAAAUCUCAAAAUAAGUUGGUGAAUUGAUUUGUCAAAAGCCUUAAAGUCUUUUGUUAUCAAAGGGAGAAAACACAACCUAAACCAACAAUCCACCAUGUGAGGAGAGCUUCAACAUGCUAGUGAGGGAUCUACCCUAUAAUAAGUAUGGAAUACUUAUAGUCCAAUCAUUAAGGAUAACGUGAGGUUUACAUCAACCACUAUGAUAACUCAAACCUAUAGCUAAUGUUUAUGAAAAAGGUUUUAACGAAGGUGGUCAUUGGACCACAAAAAUCACUUGAAGUGAGUUGUAUUUACAAGUUAGAAGUAUUCACAAAAUGAAGUCAAAGUUGACUUAAGGUUCAAUUCAAAAUAAGUAUUAAUGAAAAGAGUUUGAAAAAUCAAAGGCAUAUGGCCUAGGUUUCUAGUUUUGAAAACAAUGUCAAUGUUUGCACAAAAUCAAUUUGGCUUGGGUUAGAGUGGAGAGAAGAAGAUAAAGGCUAGUCCUAAACAAGCAAAGAUGAGAGAAGAGAUAAAACCCUUGGAGUUCCUUUCUUGAGAUCAUAAAGAUGAUUCAAGAUGCUCAUUUCCUUUGGACUUAGCAAUUAACUCAAACAAUCAAACAAAUAUUCAAUCAAGCUCCUAGGAUCUCCAUUUGGCUUGUCUCUCUUAACUUGGAUGCUUAUGACAAUGGUCCUUCUAACUAUCUCAAGUUUGGAAUCCCUAUCACAUAAGAACAAACAAUCAAAAAUUCCACAAUGCAAUAAGAGGAAUGGACAAAGAGAGUUUAAAUUAGGGGGUCCUUUCAAGUCAACUUUCAAGAUUUAGCAUUCUAAAGGCAUGAGGCCUAGUUGCUCUUCAACAAAUUUAGCAUUCUAAAGGCGUGAGGCCUAGUUGCUCUUGAACUCCAUUAAGCAUAGGUAAGGUCCUAAUUCUAAGUCUUUUCUCCUUUUUGCAUUAGGUUCACACAAACAAUCACAAAAACAAACACAAAGCAACAAUAUAUUUAUAUACAAUAGUGAGCUCAAGUGAGCAAAAGGAAGAUAGCAUAAACAUAAAAUAUGAGCUCAAAUGAGCAAAGGGAAAAGACAAUAUGAAUAGAUGAGCAAGAAAUUAAAUUGCAUUAAAGUAAAUUACAAGAAUUAAAUGCUUGAAUUAAAAGUUAGUAAUUAGUAGUUAGUGUUAGUGUGCCAUAAGGCAAUUUAGCGCUAUGUUAAGCAAUCGUAAGAUAAAUUACAAGAAUUAAAUGCUUGAAUUAAAAGUUAGUAAUUAGUAGUUAGUGUUAGUGUGCCAUAAGGCAAUUUAGCGCUAUGUUAAGCAAUCGUAAGUGGACUAAUGUAGUAGUCACACCUAUCUUAGGCCGGUCAAUAAAACUAUAGGCAAAUAAACACAAGUUAGAGAUCAUGACUAGUAAGCCAAGCUCCUACAACUUGCCAUGCCAAAAGAAAAGAAGAAUGACCUUGUAUAGAUUUUUAGGUUUUUUGCUUGACCAAGAAGCAACCUAUCUUGGACACAAAGCAAUUCACUUGAUCUUUGAUCAAGUUGAAUUUGAUUUGGAUUAAAGAAGGUUAAGCCUCUCAUAUGUAAAGGCUAACCACAAAUGAUUAACUCAUUGGUCAAAAGAAGAAAAAAAAAGAGGUGAAGAUGAAAUGUACAAAAUGAAAAUUCAAAUGACAUAACCAAAACACAAUGAUCAAAUAUGAAUGGAAUCAACAUCAAUCAAUGGUAAACAGAAGUGAAAUGAAGAUUAGAAGUCAAGAAAGAUCAAACAUAUUUUUGGUAUUUUUUGGAAUUAAAAUAAUACAUAAAAUAAAAUAAACAAAGUAAGGUCAAACUUCAAAUCCAAUUCAAAUCAACUUGGAUAAGUCCAAUUGGAUCAUCAUAAGUCUAACAUGGUCAAACAAGGUUUGACAAAUUUUCUCAACAUUUUUUGAAAACAGAAAACUAUUUUUAAACAAUUAAAAUGAGGGAAAAAUAACAUAAAUAUGACUAAAAGUCUCAAAUAAAUCUCAAGUCAAUAGAAAUUGAAUGAGAUAUUUUCAUAGACUUACUCAUCAUCCAUAUGUAUUAAGAAAAUAUUUUUGGAUUUUUGAAUGUCUAAAAGUAUUUAAAUAAUUAAAAACAAAUAUAAUUCACAAAAUAUUAAAUGGAAUCACAAAAAUAAUUAAAAAUCAGAUUAUGAAACUAGAUUUUAAAAGAAUUUUUUUGCAAUUGGUCUCAUAUUUUUGUGAUUCCAAAUAAAAGAGUUAUGAAUUUUUGAAAAUAAGAGGAAUUAAAGAAAAUAAAACAGAACUUAUAAAAAUAGAAAAAAAACAGGAGCACAUGAUCAACACUCAUUAGUUAGCGUGGACCAUCUUGUGGCUCUGAGGCGCGCGCGCAUGGUGAUCAUUAGUUCAACGCGUAACAAAUUAAAUUAAAAAAAAGUCAAACAAGGCAAAGGCUGAGAUUAGAAGGCUCAUGUGAGAUCCAAAGGCCAUAGCUCUUCCACAUGGGGACGGUGGUGGAAACCACCAUCUUCUCCGGCGAGAAAACAGAAACCGGCCACCAGUUGCAGGUUUUGCAACCUCAACCAAAUUGCAUGAUCUUUAUACCAAAUUAAAGCUAGGAUGAUGUACAUCACCCCUAUAACCUUGGAUUUCUCUCAAGAUCCCUAUGGAAGGAGAAAUUUGAGAUGGAAAAUCCAGGUGCUCAAUCUGAAAUGCAUCAAUUCAUGAAAUUAAAGCCACCAUUGGCUUGCCUCUCACACGAGGACUUCAGAGAACCAAACAAACACAAGCAAAUCACAUCAUAUAAGGAGAUUCAGAUCAAAACAGUUGAAGAAUGUAAACCUUUGAAAGUGCAGCUUUGAUGAGCCACAAUCUUAAACAAACUCUUGCUUGCAGCUUGUUCUUGAGGUAUGGUAUGAGUGCAAGGCUAAGGAAUAAGUGUUGAAGAUCAACUGAUUUUGUUGAAAUUCAAACUUGAAAAGAGAAAUGAAAAUUCAAAAUUCCUCUAGUAUGGUUGGGAUUCAAUUUCUGCAGAGCUUCAGGUUGAUUCAAGGAUGAGAAAUGAAUGAAGCAAGGUGUUUAUUUAUAGUUGCAGCUGCAAGCAAACUGUGACAAACUCGUGUGCAUGAAGCUUUGGGUCCUCCAUGCAUGGGCCUGUACAUGCGUAUGUGAGGCCCAAAAGCUGAUGGUUUUGCAAGUUGAUAGCAUAAUGAAAUGAUUUGGACGUGUGGUUUGCAUUGCAAUUGCUUGUGCAUGAAGUUUCAUCAUGAAUUCCAUAAUUGAUCACAAAUGUUCCUCUCUUCGAAAGUCCCAUAUGGAAAAUCCAAACAUAGGCAUGUAACUAAUGGUUGGAAAGGUCUUAACAUAAGGAGAAAAAACUAUGUUGAACAAAAAUCCAUUUGGAGUUUGGAAGAUUGUGAAAAUUGGCCAUGAAGUUUGAUGUACAAAACAUGUCUUUUAAAAAUUUGUCAAAAGUGACCAACUUCAAGCCCUUCUGUUUCAAUUAUGCAUGCCUCAAAUGGAAAAACCUCCAACAUCAAAGUUGUAGAUAUUUUUAAGAUGAUUAAUUUGGACUUAUAUUUUUCAUCAUUUGGAUUUUUUAUGAGAAAGUUAUGAGCACUUGAAGUUGGACUUUUUCAAGAUUCAAUGGCUUUGGUCCAAAGUGACCUAUAAUGUUUUGUAUUAUCACAUGUGUUACUUUUAGGAUUAUGAAAUUUUGUCCAACAUAACAUUUGAAGCAGAAAUCUUAGUAUUUCCAAUUCAAUUGGUCUCAUCUCAAAAUCAUAAAAAAUAAGUGAGUUAGGUCCUUGGGAAGUUGACCCAAAAUUAGGGUUUCAGUCAAAAUGACCUAUAAUGUUUUGAAAUGAAUGAUGACCUUACAAGUUUCAAAUAAAUUUUGGAUGAAAAUGAAAGUUGUUCAUAUGGUUAUUAAGAACAUAUUUUCUCUUGGGGUCAUCUUCAUUUGACAAAUACAUCAAAAGUUAGGUCUCAGUGGAUUUCAAUUUAGUCAGAUGACUUGACUGGUCUCUUUCUCAAGUCCAAACUUCAAAUCUUGAUGAAUGAAUGAUUGAGGGUAGUCACAUAGGAUAAUAUAUGCAUAAAAUGAUUAAUGAAAACACUUCCCUUUAUUAGAUUUGAUCAUAGGUUGAGGUUGCUUCAUGAGCAAGGCACAGUCAAAGCAUAGUUGAAUUAGGGUUUCCUUGGGAAACAAUCCUCAAGCCCUUUGGUUUAUCUUGACCAAAUUGACAAAUUGAGAUACUUGGGAGACAUAUAUGAUGAUUGAGAGCUUUGGAAACCAUUUUCAUGCCUGCUUUCGUCUUCAUCUAGCCACUUCAUUGAGCAUAGGAGCCUCAUAGGAGCAAUGGAUCUCAUGACUGCUUAAGCUUCAAAACAAAACAAGUUAGUGACAUAUUUUUAUGCUUUUGGUUAGUAAAAAAAAUAAGAAAAGCAAUAAUAUACAAUUCAAUCAUUCUUGGUGGUCUCAAAACAAAUCACACAAGUCCCAACCCAAGGGUUAAGGAGCCACACAUGCUAUUAUGUGACUUUGGUCACUUCCCUCCAUUCAUUUCCGUGACACAUUCAUAUUCUACCUCCAUUCACUUCAUAUGAUAUACCCUUGUUUUGAGCCAAAUACAAUAUACCUUUAUGCUCCAUCUUGUACCCGUUUGUGAACCAAGAGUUGUUUGUGCUGUGAAACCAAACACUUAAUUCAAUCUUUUUUCGGUUGUUCCAAUACAGUGUUGUAGGCCCUCACUUGCUGGUUCAUACCAGUUUUACUCUUGGGUUCACGCUUUCGCCCUUUAUUGGAGUUCAAAUCAUAUUAUCCUUUGGUUUAGACCAUACUUUGAUCACAACCUUUUUUCAUCUCCCACCAUUAGUUCCUUGAACUACGGAGCUCUGAAUUCCUCAUUAAACUAUGAGGAUACGUAGGCAUGAGGGUCCUAAUCCUCACCGAGCCCUUUAUCUAUUCUUUUCCUUUUUCCCCAUUCUUUUACGAGUAAUCUUUAGAUAUAACACUCAUUCGAGCAAGAACAAUCAAAAUGGUUCCCAUGGAGUACCAUGGAUGUUUGAGGUGUUAAUAUCAUUCCCUUGCAUAACCGACUUCCUUACCCAUCAUAUCUCUUUCCCCCGAGUUUUAUCAAUGUUUUCCUUUUCCUUCGGGAAUAAAUAAAGUUCGAUGGAGACUCUGUUGUAUGUUCAAGCGUGUGAUACAUUCGGGUAUAUUUCUGCUAGCUUCAAUCUCGAGCCAAGAACACGGAGUGUGAGGCAAAGUCUUUUAGGUUGAUAUUUUCUACUGAAAAGUGAUUUACCUUAUUUUAGUGUUAAUUGUUUACCGAAUCCUUGAAGAAUGAUGUGAUUUACAUAUCGCUACCUCUUUAUUGAAUACUUUAAUUAUAUUAUUAUUUCCAGUUAAAUUUUAUUUCCCCUUUUUUCUUAAUCAAUAAAAAAUAAUCAUUAGCCUUUCCUUUGCAUAGUAACUUUAGAUAACAAUAGUUUGAUUUUUGGUCAUUUGAGUUCGAUAUCUUUUUAAAACUAUGCGAUAUGACUGUGCACUUGUAGUCAUCCAUUUCGAUAGACAUACCAAGUCGCGAUCAUCCUCCUCCUUCUUUGAUUUUCAAAAUCUCCUCUCUUUUUCAAAACCUUCUUAUUUUUCAAACUUGAAUCUUUUUUCUCAAUAAACCUUGACUUUUGUCAAGUGAUUUUCAAAAAAAUUUUCUUAAUAAAUGCUAAUCCAUCUUAAGCAUAUUUACACCAAUUCCAAAAGACUAAAAAUGCUUAAGCCAUUCAAACCAUUUUUGUGCCCUUGUGCAUUUUUCCUUUUAAAACUUUUCUCAAGGUAUUAGACAUGUGUCAUUUCCAUAGUUGAGAUAUAAUUAUCCUAUCUCGAUAGUAUUUAUGAUAAUUCUUUUCCAUCUGUGGGAGCUAGUGACAUACUUGUUGAUCCUUAUCCAAGUUGGAGCCCUUCUCAUGAUGAUGGAAAGUUCUCAUACUUGUGGGUGACUAGUUGAGUAUUCUCCUUAAAAUGAAAAAAUGUCUUUUCCAUAAAAAUGAAUCAAAAUAGUCUCCCUUUGUUACUUUUACAACAAACUACGAGGUUUUGAUCCUCCAUUGCAUUAUGUUGGUACGUAGGCAUGAGACUUCAAAAGUCUUGGCAAACACAAAAAUAAGAAAAGUAUAUUUCUUUUCCCAUCUUUCCCAUCUUUUAACAAACAACACCCUUUUCAAACCAAAAUGUACAUAUUUUCAAAGAGGUUCCCAUGGAGUACCAUGGAUGUUUAGGGUGCUAAUACCUUCCCUUUGCAUAACUAACCCUCGGACCCUUGUUCUCUUUUUAUUAGUUUUAUUUUAAAACUUCUUUGGGUUUUGUUCGUACUUUUUCCCUUUUACUUUGGAAACAAUAAAAGUGCGGUGACGACUCUUACUUUGUGAGUUAAGUUAAUCGAUAACUUAAUCUCAAAAAUUUUACCGCUACAACUAUGGCUAAAAUAUGUGUGAAAAGUAAGAAAUAUUUAAAAAGGUGAUGAGUAAAAUGAAAAGUUAGGUUUUUCACUUUUUAUGGAUGUGAAAAAGUUAUAGAUAAGAUCUUUAUUUAUAGGCCAAGGCGUGAUAUAAUUUUGGAAACAACCCAUGGGCCAAUUAACUCACUUAAUCGAUUAAUCUAAUCGAUUAGGCUCCUCAAAUAAUCGAUUAUUGAGGCAAAAAAUUGAAGGUUUUGAUAUAGAGUCGUUACCAAUCAUUAAGAGACUGUUAUAAUCAAUUAUAGACUUUAUUAGGAAUCAUCUAAUCGAUUAGGUAAAUGAUCUAAUCUAUUAGACAACUUAGAAAAAGUCUCUUAGUCAAACAUACAGCCUCCUAACCAAUUAGUUAGGCCCCAAAAACAUUUUUAGGUGAUUUAAUUUUAAAAAUGAGAGGCUUCUCAAUAUUUUUAUUUGCAUCAUUAUCUUGACUUUAGCAUCACACAUGAUCCUUGAGUUUUCUUGAUGAUGCUUGAGACAUUUCCAUGUUGAUUACCACCAUUUGAGUGUUUGAAAGUUUUAAACCACUAUUAAACCUAAGUCUUCACUCGAGAGUUGUUAUACUACAAUAUUGUCUUUAAAAAUAUAUCUUUAUCUUGAUUCGGGAGGAUUUUUCAAUUAAUUAUUUUGUGCGUCUUUGACCGCUUAGGUUAACUUCAGUAGCUGCUUGACUUUAAAUGUUCUCAUCAUCAAAACUAGGCAACUACUACUUAACUUGCAUCCUUAGUAUCAAUAAGCUUCACCAUAUUGGAUCACUUCUUGACUAUACGUGCAAGCAAAUAGAUCCAUAUUAUUGUCAUCUUUCCUCCAUUAAAGUAACUAUAAUUGCUUUUGGCAUGCCUAAAUAUUUCCUUGAAUUUGAUAUGCAUCCUUCUCUUCCUUCUACUUUAACCUUGAAUCGGACGUAAAAUUACCAAUUUUGUCACCAGAUCACCAUUGUUGUGAAAA
rnacentral:lncRNA from 1 species